AUUGAACGCUGGCGGCAUGCUUUACACAUGCAAGUCGAACGGUAACAGGCCGCAAGGUGCUGACGAGUGGCGAACGGGUGAGUAAUGCAUCGGAACGUGCCCAGUCGUGGGGGAUAACGCAGCGAAAGCUGCGCUAAUACCGCAUACGAUCUAUGGCUGAAAGCGGGGGACCGAAAGGCCUCGCGCGAUUGGAGCGGCCGAUGUCAGAUUAGGUAGUUGGUGGGGUAAAGGCUCACCAAGCCAACGAUCUGUAGCUGGUCUGAGAGGACAACCGGCCAAACUGGGAAUAAGACACGGCCCAGACUCCUACGGGAGGCAGCAGUGGGGAAUUUUGGACAAUGGGCGCAUGCCUGAUCCGGCAAUGCCGCGUGCAGGAAGAAGGCCUUCGGGUUGUAAACUGCUUUUGUACGGAACGAAACGGCUCUGGUUAAUACCCGGGGCUAAUGACGGUACCGUAAGAAUAAGCACCGGCUAACUACGUGCCAGCAGCCGCGGUAACAC
rnacentral:rRNA from 1 species